rnacentral:rRNA from 1 species
AACGAACGCUGGCGGCAGGCUUAACACAUGCAAGUCGAACGCCCCGCAAGGGGAGUGGCGCACGGGUGAGUAACGCGUGGGAAUAUGCCCUUCGGUUCGGAAUAACACAGGGAAACUUGUGCUAAUACCGGAUACGAUCUACGGAUGAAAGAUUUAUCGCCGAGGGAGUAGCCCGCGUAGGAUUAGCUAGUUGGUGAGGUAAUGGCUCACCAAGGCGACGAUCCUUAGCUGGUCUGAGAGGAUGAUCAGCCACACUGGGACUGAGACACGGCCCAGACUCCUACGGGAGGCAGCAGUGGGGAAUAUUGGACAAUGGGCGAAAGCCUGAUCCAGCCAUGCCGCGUGAGUGAUGAAGGCCUUAAGGGUUGUAAAGCUCUUUCGCCAGGGAAGAUAAUGACGGUACUUGGAAAAGAAGCCUCGGCUAACUCCGUGCCAGCAGCCGCGGUAAU